rnacentral:tRNA from 1 species
GCAGUUUUAAAGAAACCCCCUACUCAGGCGGGGCAGUAUUACGUACUCGUAAUGAAUAGGUCGCCGGUUCGAUUCCGGCAGGCGGCUCCA